rnacentral:lncRNA from 1 species
GAAAUGACCAGUCUUGCCCCAGUAUGUACACCCCAUCUUUUGGGCUCCAUUAUCCUUUCCUGAGUGGUUGCAUGAUGUGUGUAGCAGGAUUACAUUACUAAGGAAUCCUCAGUCAUGGCUGAGACUGGGAAGGUCACCUACAUGAUGGAAAUUCUUGCUGCUUGUCCCAUGGAUUGCCAUGAUCCCCAGCUGAUGGAGCUGUGUCUGACUUCAACACCAGAUGAUUAUUCCAUGGAUAGACUCACUGUACUGCUCUCAUAGAUGUGUUCCUAAGG